CUGAGCAAGUUUUGUGGGGAAACCCUGAUCCUGGUCUCAACACAUGGUGGCGGAGCAGAGCUGGUAGAUGAGUUUCUGUGACAAACUAAGAUGAACACCAAAGAGACUCUUGGAUGCUAACUGGACCAACCGACCCAGCUGGUGGACGGGUUGUCUUCUCGGUCCAGAACCGAGGCUUUUGGACCUUCUCUUCCUGAAGGUUUGGUUGCUUCAGGUGAAUCGUAUUCCGUUUUUAUUCUCUGGUCAUCUGGACCAGUUCUGGGCUGGUUCUGUUAGGGUUCUGCAUACUGAACACACCACAGCGGACUCUGAUACCUGGUUGGUUCUGAUCAGCGGAGCGGGUCCGGAUUCCUCAGCGACUCAUUAAAGUCUUGGAUGAAGUUUUCCCGGGGGUGUCCAGAUGGAAGGACUGCGGUCCGUCCUCCAUGUUGGCCUCCCGUUUGGGUCGGACCGGCGCUGCGCCGCUGCAGCCGAGGACUGAAGGACUCGAAGUUCAGAGUU